GAUGUUGGCUUAGAAGCAGCCAUACAUUUAAAGAGUGCGUAAUAGCUCACUGGUCAAGUGGUAGAGCGCCGAAAAUGAACGGGGCUAAAAUCUAAUACCGAAGCUGUGGACUAAUGAAAAUUAGUGGUAGAGGAGCAUUGUGUAAGGGGCGAAGCUAAGUUGGAAGACGAAGUGGACUUUACAGAAGAGAGAAUGCUGGCAUGAGUAGCGAAAAGGAGGGUGAGAAUCCCUCCCGUCGAAAGCCUAAGGAUUCCUGAGGAAGGCUCGUCCUCUCAGGGUAAGUCGGGACCUAAGCCCAGGCUGAAAAGCGUAAGCGAUGGACAACAGGUUGAGAUUCCUGUACUAUCUUUGAAUGUUUGAGAGAUGUACUGACGCAGGAGGAUAUGUUGAGCGUGUGAAUGGUAGAGCACGUCUAAGCAAGUAGGUAGAGAAUAGAGGCAAAUCCCUAUUCUUAAUAUCGAGAUGCGAUGGGGAGCGAAAAAUAAGUAGUGAAGCAACAGAUUCCAAACUGCCAAGAAAAGGUACUAUUGAGUGAGAAGAUACCCGUACCAAAACCGACACAGGUAGGCAAGGAGAGAAUCCUAAGACGCGCGGAAGAACCUUUGUUAAGGAACUCGGCAAAAUGACCCCGUAACUUCGGGAGAAGGGGUACCAUUAGAUGUGAAGUACUUACGUAUGGAGCAUAGAGUGGUCGCAGAGAAUAGGCCCAAGCAACUGUUUACCAAAAACACAAGUCUCUGCUAAAUCGAAAGAUGAAGUAUAGGGGCUGACACCUGCCCGGUGCUGGAAGGUUAAGGGGAAAUGUUAGAGCAAUCGAAGCAUAGAACUUAAGCCCCAGUAAACGGCGGCCGUAACUAUAACGGUCCUAAGGUAGCGAAAUUCCUUGUCGGGUAAGUUCCGACCCGCACGAAAGGUGUAAUGAUUUGGGCACUGUCUCAACAAAGGAUCCGGUGAAAUUGUAGUAGUCGUGAAGAUGCGACUUACCCACGAUAGGACGGAAAGACCCCGUGGAGCUUUACUGUAGGCUGGCAUUGGAAUUUGGUAUUAAAUGUACAGGAUAGGUGGGAGACUAAGAAGCGAGAGCGCCAGUUUUCGUGGAGUCAACGUUGGGAUACCACUCUUUUGAUACUAAAUUUCUAACUUGAUACUCUGAAUCGAGUAUAAGGACACUGUCAGUUGGGCAGUUUGACUGGGGCGGUCGCCUCCUAAAGAGUAACGGAGGCGUUCAAAGGUUCCCUCAGAAUGGAUGGAAAUCAUUCUAAGAGUGCAAAGGCAAAAGGGAGCUUAACUGCGACACCAACAAGUGGAGCAGAUAGGAAACUAGGACUUAGUGAUCCGGUGGUACCGAGUGGAAGGGCCAUCGCUCAACGGAUAAAAGCUACCCCGGGGAUAACAGGCUUAUCUCCCCCAAGAGUUCACAUCGACGGGGAGGUUUGGCACCUCGAUGUCGGCUCGUCUCAUCCUGGGGCUGGAGUAGGUCCCAAGG
rnacentral:rRNA from 1 species